UAAAAAACGCUGAAGCUUCCUUGUGCGCUCUCUCCUUCUGGACCCUUCUCUGUCCACAAACCCUAGCAAGUCCUAAUUCCCUAUACUCUCUCUUGCUCUGCAGCAACCAUGUCGCACUUCGGUAGGUCUGGUCCACCGGAUAUCGCCGAUACCUACUCUCUUCUCGUCCUCAACAUCACCUUCCGUACCACUGCUGAUGAUCUCUUUCCGCUUUUCGAUAAGUACGGAAAAGUUGUUGAUAUCUUCAUCCCUAGAGACCGAAGGACUGGCGAAUCGAGGGGCUUUGCCUUUGUGCGAUACAAAUAUGCAGAUGAGGCACAAAAAGCAGUUGAAAGGCUAGAUGGAAGAGUUGUCGAUGGCCGAGAGAUUACUGUUCAAUUUGCAAAAUAUGGGCCAAAUGCUGAGAGGAUUCAUAAGGGAAGGAUCACUGAAGUUUUCCCAAAAUCAAAGUAUAGAUCAAGAAGCCGUAGUCCUCGAAGAAGGUACAGGGAUGAUUACAGAGAUCGAGACUACAGGAGAAGAAGUCGAAGUAGAAGUUGGGACAGGUAUGAACGCAGCCGAUAUCGUGGAAGGGACAGAGAUUAUCGGCACCGGAGCAGGAGUCCCAGUGCUAGUCCAGAUUAUUACAGGAGCAAGGGAAAAGGCCGCUAUUAUGAUGAACGGCGUAGUCGAAGCAGAAGCCGAAGCCGCAGUUGGAGUCGAUCUAUGGAUAGUGCGUCACCUGCUCGGCAUAGUCUAAGUCCUGACAAGAGUCCUCUGCCACGCAGAACUCCAUCACCUAGGGGUGAAAGUCCUGAUCGGCGCAGUCGUGAUGGACGGUCCCUUUCUCGUAGUCCUUCACCACCACGGCGUCGUUCUGCUGAUUCUCGGAGCCCAUCUCCAAGAUAUUCAGAUAUUGAGGAAUGAUGUAAUGGGCGUGUAAGGAGAUCUACAAAGACAUCUCGAGUGGUCUGAUCUGACUGUUUUGUUAAUGUUCAGGACCUUGAUUAUCGGAAUUUAAGUGGUAGUUUUGUUAUGCUCGAGAAGAGUGAAUGAGCCUGAUAGGAGAAUGUUGAUGUUGUCGCUGGUGAUGCUGUUACUAUGUCGUAGAUGAUGAUCACAAAAUGAUGAUGAUCACAAAUGAUUUGCUGGUUGCGGCAGUAUGGUGGUCUUAGAAGUAAUGGUAUGGUUGAUUAAGCAGUGUGCUGAUUGCAGUGAACAAAUUAAUCUACUGAUUUUCUUGAUGCUAUGCUCGAGAAAAGAGUGAAUGGGCCUGAUAGGAGAAUGUUGAUGUCAUAACUGGUGAUGCUGUUUCUAAGUCGUAGGUGAUGAUCACCUGAUAGGAGAAUGUUGAUGUUAUAGCCGGUGAAGCUGUUUCUAAGUUGUAGAUGAUGAUCACAACCGACUUACUGGUUGCAGCAGAAUGGUUGUUUUAGACAUGGUGGUUGAUGUUGCAGGGAACAAAUUAGUUAACUGAUUUUCUUCCAAAGAUAGGCAGUAAUGGGUUAAGACAAGUGGACUGGUACAACACAAGCAUGAGCGGGCCAAUAUUUGAACUCUCGUAUCUCAAAUUUUGGAGUAAUAGGGAUGCGAAAAACAGACCAAACUAUCUACUUCGUUACUAUUGUUCAGGGGCAUAAUCGGUGGCGCCACACAUGUAAAGGUAACCUGUCUUACUAUAAAGUGGAUUAAAAAUAAUAUUUUUUCUUUAGAAAAAGAUUAUCCAUAAUGUGGUUAAAACAAAAAAAAAAAACAAAAGAGAAAAUAAAGAAUCUGUUUCAUCAUCCGUUUAUAAAUUAAAAUUGUUUUUAAAAUAAAAAA